rnacentral:rRNA from 1 species
UGCCAGCAGCCGCGGUAAUACGGAGGGAGCGAGCGUUGUUCGGAAUUACUGGGCGUAAAGCGCACGUAGGCGGAUUAGUAAGUUAGGGGUGAAAUCCCGGGGCUCAACCCCGGAACUGCCUCUAAUACUGCUAGUCUUGAGUUCGAGAGAGGUGAGUGGAAUUCCGAGUGUAGAGGUGGAAUGCGUAGAUAUUAGGAGGAACACCAGUGGCGAAGGCGGCUCUCUGGUUCGAUACUGACACUAAGGCACGAAAGCGUGGGGAGCGAACAGGAUUAGAUA